UGGGCAAUCUGCCCUGCACUCUGGGACAAGCCCUGGAAACGGGGUCUAAUACCGGAUAUGACUACCGAUCGCAUGGUUGGUGGUGGAAAGCUCCGGCGGUGCAGGAUGAGCCCGCGGCCUAUCAGCUUGUUGGUGGGGUGAUGGCCUACCAAGGCGACGACGGGUAGCCGGCCUGAGAGGGCGACCGGCCACACUGGGACUGAGACACGGCCCAGACUCCUACGGGAGGCAGCAGUGGGGAAUAUUGCACAAUGGGCGAAAGCCUGAUGCAGCGACGCCGCGUGAGGGAUGACGGCCUUCGGGUUGUAAACCUCUUUCAGCAGGGAAGAAGCGAGAGUGACGGUACCUGCAGAAGAAGCGCCGGCUAACUACGUGCCAGCAGCCGCGGUAAUACGUAGGGCGCGAGCGUUGUCCGGAAUUAUUGGGCGUAAAGAGCUSRUAGGCGGCUUGUCACGUCGGAUGUGAAAGCCCGGGGCUUAACCCCGGGUCUGCAUUCGAUACGGGCAGGCUAGAGUUCGGUAGGGGAGAUCGGAAUUCCUGGUGUAGCGGUGAAAUGCGCAGAUAUCAGGAGGAACACCGGUGGCGAAGGCGGAUCUCUGGGCCGAUACUGACGCUGAGGAGCGAAAGCGUGGGGAGCGAACAGGAUUAGAUACCCUGGUAGUCCACGCCGUAAACGUUGGGAACUAGGUGUGGGCGACAUUCCACGUCGUCCGUGCCGCAGCUAACGCAUUAAGUUCCCCGCCUGGGGAGUACGGCCGCAAGGCUAAAACUCAAAGGAAUUGACGGGGGCCCGCACAAGCGGCGGAGCAUGUGGCUUAAUUCGACGCAACGCGAAGAACCUUACCAAGGCUUGACAUACACCGGAAACGGCCAGAGAUGGUCGCCCCCUUGUGGUCGGUGUACAGGUGGUGCAUGGCUGUCGUCAGGUCGUGUCGUGAGAUGUUGGGUUAAGUCCCGCAACGAGCGCAACCCUUGUUCUGUGUUGCCAGCAUGCCUUUCGGGGUGAUGGGGACUCACAGGAGACUGCCGGGGUCAACUCGGAGGAAGGUGGGGACGACGUCAAGUCAUCAUGCCCCUUAUGUCUUGGGCUGCACACGUGCUACAAUGGCCGGUACAAUGAGCUGCGAUACCGUGAGGUGGAGCGAAUCUCAAAAAGCCGGUCUCAGUUCGGAUUGGGGUCUGCAACUCGACCCCAUGAAGUCGGAGUCGCUAGUAAUCGCAGAUCAGCAUUGCUGCGGUGAAUACGUUCCCGGGCCUUGUACACACCGCCCGUCACGUCAC
rnacentral:rRNA from 1 species